rnacentral:misc_RNA from 1 species
UCUUGGAGCCUAGGCGCAAGGCGCGGGUGUGCACCCGAGUGAGGCAAGGCGCAAAAAUAAAUAAAAAAUAAUUAAAAUUAAAAAUAUUCUCACACAUUUCAAGUAACAUAAUGCUAAACAUUAAAAAAAGAAAAAAGAGAGACAAGGAAGUUAAUAAUUUAUAAUAACAUAAACUCUAUUUACCUAAUAGCAAUUAGCAAGUAGCAACAUG